AACGCAAAUUGCGCUUGAGGCUUCGGCCAAGAGCAUGUCUGCCUCAGCGUCGGGUAAAAACUCGCUCUACAAACCUUCUGGGUGCGUGCAGGAGCGGAACUGACUGUCUCAGUAAGGCUUCACAGCUGUGCUGGGUCAGUUGAAGUUUGCAGCUGUUGGUACAUGGACCCGCUCAAUGGGCCUCUACUGGGUAGGCAACACGUUUGCUCUAUGCUUUAGUAGACGGCUUAGGAUCUGUGUUAUGCCAGCACAAAGCAGGAAUGCGCCAUGUGUGCAUUACAACCUUUUUCUCGACCUGAGCUCAGGCAAGAUUACCCGCUGAACUUAA
rnacentral:misc_RNA from 1 species